CGUAAAGAGCUCGUAGGUGGUUUGUCGCGUUGUUCGUGAAAUCUCACGGCUUAACUGUGAGCGUGCGGGCGAUACGGGCAGACUUGAGUACUGCAGGGGAGACUGGAAUUCCUGGUGUAGCGGUGGAAUGCGCAGAUAUCAGGAGGAACACCGGUGGCGAAGGCGGGUCUCUGGGCAGUAACUGACGCUGAGGAGCGAAAGCGUGGGGAGCGAACAGGAUUAGAUACCCUGGUAGUCCACGCCGUAAACGGUGGGUACUAAGUGUGGGUUUCCUUCCUUGGGAUCCGUGCCGUAGCUAACGCAUUAAGUACCCCGCCUGGGGAGUACGGCCGCAAGGCUAAAACUCAAAGAAAUUGACGGGGGCCCGCACAAGCGGCGGAGCAUGUGGAUUAAUUCGAUGCAACGCGAAGAACCUUACCUGGGUUUGACAUGCACAGGACGCCGGCAGAGAUGUCGGUUCCCUUGUGGCCUGUGUGCAGGUGGUGCAUGGCUGUCGUCAGCUCGUGUCGUGAGAUGUUGGGUUAAGUCCCGCAACGAGCGCAACCCUUGUCUCAUGUUGCCAGCGGGUAAUGCCGGGGACUCGUGAGAGACUGCCGGGGUCAACUCGGAGGAAGGUGGGGAUGACGUCAAGUCAUCAUGCCCCUUAUGUCCAGGGCUUCACACAUGCUACAAUGGCCGGUACAAAGGGCUGCGAUGCCGCGAGGUUAAGCGAAUCCUUUUAAAGCCGGUCUCAGUUCGGAUCGGGGUCUGCAACUCGACCCCGUGAAGUCGGAGUCGCUAGUAAUCGCA
rnacentral:rRNA from 1 species